ACGGGGUUUGGCAGCUUGGCGCCCGUCGGGAAAGCCUGGGGCUCUGGCGCGCAUGUCUUCAGGGCACUUCGCACUUUCAAAGGGGCCAAGAAGUGGCCACUGGUACUGAUGGAGGUGUGCAAAAUCGGGAGUCGGUGCGUACAUAGUUCUUCCUGUUUAAAAAAUGCACCCUCUGUGUGCUUAAUUACAUGCCAUGCAUGUAUGUGCCCAUAGCUUUUUGUCUUCUUUUUCUUUAUAUGUACUAUUACGUGAGACAUGAGUCACGGGAUGACACAUCUGCAGAGUGGAUAAUCUCAACUGUGGUACUUUGGUGCAGGGGAAUUUCCGCAGUAUCAGACAUAAACUACUCUCACGCGAUCUGUUUGCUUAUUGUACUUUAAAUUCAGUCUAAGGGAAUUUGUGUUCUAAAGCCACUUAAGAGGUCCAUUACUACUGAAAUUUUAGCUAUCCUGCAGUAAAAUUUUAAAAUUGCAAAUAAACCCAAGAAAAUACAAAGCAGCCUUUUGAUUUGAAGUCUUGUGUACCCAUAAUUGGACAGAACACUUCUUUGAGCCAUUUUUAGGUGGGAUUUUUUCAGAAUGUUUGUCUCGAGGAGCUUAUACAACUCGAAUUCCAGUGGUGGGAUCCCAGUGGUGGGAUCUAGUGUUGCGUAAAACUUGUAAUUUCAAAACAUAGAUGCACUGCAUCUUUUUUUUUUUCAAUUGUAGAAAGCCAACUCCGUCCGUAUUUUCUUUGCCUCACCUGUCCUUUUGCAUCUUACCUUCUCUCACACCUUAUGAAGACAGAACAGAUCCUUAAGAAGGUCGGGACAGAGCCAGACUCAUGUGAUAUUGCCACUUGGAGACCUGAGUGAACUCUGAAUUAGGAAACCUUCCAUUUCUUUUGUUCUCUACCUUUCCUACAAUCUGACACACACCAGCCCUUCUGCUUUUCUACUUGCUGUGUGGCCUCACAAAUGUAAAAUCCUCGUGGUCCAAAGGAAAAUGUAGUUUGAAAGAGUUUACUUCCAGGGGUUUGGGUUAACCUUGAUGGUUUCAAUGCAACACUGGGAUUAGAAACCUAGAAAGAAACAGAUUUAUGAAAAGGUUCAAGAUUCCUCAAAGCUUCUGGCGUGGUAAGUCUUUCUAAUUAUUAUAGGGAGCAUCUCGAUUAUUUUAACUUGCACAUAUACUCACACACUCACAUAAACCAACAAAUCCUGCGGCCGGUCUUUGUAAACUUCUCUAGAUUGCAUUUCUCUCACUUGCUGACCCUUUCACAUAAUAAUAUUGUUGGAUGUUUUCUUUUUCUCUCCCUGAGUUGAUAUCAGCAAAACUCAAAUUACUGUAACUGAUAUUUGAAAAUUCUGCCUGUGUCAAGUGAAGACUUAUGGUGCUGAAAUCAAUAAGACUGUUUAAAAUUCAAAGACCUGCAAAUCGUUCUGUUUGUCCUUUGAUAGGGCCUGGGCUGAUUAAAAUGCGACCAAGAAAGCCUAAUUGCUGCACUAAUUAAGAAGUCUUUAAUUUCUUUCCUGGAAGAUUGUUUGAAGCAGGGUUUCUGUUCUGCUCAUGUCUCGAGCAGCAAUCCCCCUUUGAGGAGCUAUCUGUUAUUUAGAGGGAAGACUGAGAAAGAGGGAGGGACCUCAUACCGAAUCCCCCCUGCAUCGCUCAGGAAAAUAGACUCAUAGAAAUUCACUGUUCUGACUUCAGAAAAGACGUUUCGAAGUCAGUCAACUAAAACAACACUUCUGUUGAUUCGAGCCUCUCGAUCGCGUUGCUGCUACCAGAGCCACAUGGUGAAACGGGUCGGGUCGUGUUCCCUUCCCGGGCUGCCUCAGGAUGGAUGGAUGGAUGGAUGGAUGGAGCAGUGGCUGGGCACUGUGUGCUGACAUUCACCUGACAACUGACAGCCGAGAGGGAGAGCUGCAGCGCGAGGAGGAAAUGAUAACCAACUUCCCUGCGUGAAUUAAAUGAGGGCUGGCAUAGACGGGUGAUGUUUGAGUCAGACUUGGGCUCUCAUUAGAGGUCCUCAGUCCAACGUGUUAAUUCACCUACCAACAGGUAGGGAAAGUCGCUCGGAGCAAUAAUUAUGAAGUACAAAGCCCCUGCCACUAAAUUAUGUUAAAGCGUUGAUCUAAUCUGAGCUGCCCUUUCCCGUGCCUUCCCCCCUUCACAGGGUUAGUUCGCUCAGCCGCUCCCUCCCUCGCUCCCAAGCCAGGCUAGUCGGAACACCGGGAGCCGGCACGAAGUUCAGUGCUCCUGGCUCUCCAGUGCGCAUCCCGAUCUCUGUCGGUGCUGGGGGACUGCUCUUCCUGCUCCACGUUCUAGAGCCGUGGGGAGCGGCGGAAUCCUCCUCCCUCCCUCUUUCCGUCCCUCCCUCCCACGGCCCCGCCGAGCCCCCGGUGCCGCCGCCCGCCGGGCGCUGAGAGGAGCGGCGGAUCGGCGGCCGCUCCAGCACCGAUUGCUUCCUUUAUAAACAUAAUAACCGUAACAACAACAAAAAAAAUGCGCAUUGCCUUCUUAUUUAUUUAUUUAUUUUUAAGUAUAUGAACUGACAGUCCGAGACACGCAGCCUUUUACUCCUCGUGUCACUUAAGUGAAUGAAAAACACUGGCGUAGAGGGGCUUGCCCUGUUUAUUCCCAUAUUUCA